AUUGAACGCUGGCGGCAUGCCUUACACAUGCAAGUCGAACGGCAGCACGGGGCAACCUGGUGGCGAGUGGCGAACGGGUGAGUAAUGCAUCGGAACGUGCCAUUGAGUGGGGGAUAACGUAGCGAAAGUUGCGCUAAUACCGCAUAUUCUGUGAGCAGGAAAGCAGGGGGACCGCAAGGCCUUGCGCUCUUUGAGCGGCCGAUGUCAGAUUAGCUAGUUGGUGAGGUAACGGCUUACCAAGGCGACGAUCUGUAGCGGGUCUGAGAGGAUGAUCCGCCACACUGGAACUGAGACACGGUCCGGACUCCUACGGGAGGCAGCAGUGGGGAAUUUUGGACAAUGGGCGCAAGCCUGAUCCAGCCAUGCCGCGUGAGUGAAGAAGGCCUCGGUUGUAAGCGUCUUUCUAGUUGUAGAAG
rnacentral:rRNA from 1 species